GACGAACGCUGGCGGCGUGCUUAACACAUGCAAGUCGAACGAUGAAGAAAAGAAUUGAUGCUUCGGCAGAAAUUCAUUUCGGAUUAGUGGCAGACGGGUGAGUAACGCGUGAGCAACCUACCCCUUACAAAGGGAUAGCCUCGGGAAACCGGGAUUAAUACCAUAUAACAUUGCGACGAAGCAUUUCGAUGCAAUCAAAGCUACGGCGGUAAGAGAUGGGCUCGCGUCCCAUUAACCAGAUGGUGAGGUAACGGCUCACCAUAGUAACGAUGGGUAACCGGGCUGAGAGGGUGAACGGUCACACUGGAACUGAGACACGGUCCAGACUCCUACGGGAGGCAGCAGUGGGGAAUAUUGCACGAUGGAGGGAACUCUGAUGCAGCGACGCCGCGUGAGUGAUGAAGGAAUUCGUUUCGUAAAACUCUGUUCUAUGGGAAGAAAAGGACUGUACCAUAGGAGAAAGCUCCGGCUAAAUACGUG
rnacentral:rRNA from 1 species